UUUUAUCAUGACCAGUUCUCCGUUGAAACAAUAUGCAUUACCUCUUCUAUGUGAUAUGGCUCAUGCGUCACGUAAUUCAAGAGAGCAACUUCGUGCUCAUGGUGGACUUGAUGUAUACCUGAGCUUACUUGAAGAUGAACUCUGGUCUGUCACAGCAUUAGAUUCCAUUGCUGUUUGUUUGGCACAUGAUAGAGCUUACUUGAAGAUGAUCUCUGGUCUGUCACAGCAUUAGAUUCCAUUGCUGUUUGUUUGGCACAUGAUAACGAAAGCAGGAAAGUGGAACAAGCUUUGCUCAAAAAGGAUGCUAUACAGAAAAUGGUCAAGUUCUUCGAAUGCUGUCCAGAAC
rnacentral:lncRNA from 1 species